UCGACCUCGGCGGCGCGCCGAAUCCAUGCCUCGAGCAGAAAUUUUAUUGGUGGCUGUACCGUUAAAUUUUAGCGGCGGAAGGGUAAGUAACAUGUGGGUAACCUACCUUAUAGAUUGGGAUAACUCCGGGAAACCGGGGCUAAUACCGAAUAAUACUUUUUAACACAUGUUUGAAAGUUGAAAGACGGUUUCGGCUGUCACUAUAAGAUGGACCCGCGGCGCAUUAGCUAGUUGGUGAGGUAACGGCUCACCAAGGCAACGAUGCGUAGCCGACCUGAGAGGGUGAUCGGCCACACUGGGACUGAGACACGGCCCAGACUCCUACGGGAGGCAGCAGUAGGGAAUCUUCCACAAUGGACGAAAGUCUGAUGGAGCAACGCCGCGUGAGUGAAGAAGGAUUUCGGUUCGUAAAACUCUGUUGCAAGGGAAGAACAAGUAGCGUAGUAACUGGCGCUACCUUGACGGUACCUUGUUAGAAAGCCACGGCUAACUACGUGCCAGCAGCCGCGGUAAUACGUAGGUGGCAAGCGUUGUCCGGAAUUAUUGGGCGUAAAGCGCGCGCAGGUGGUUCCUUAAGUCUGAUGUGAAAGCCCCCGGCUCAACCGGGGAGGGUCAUUGGAAACUGGGGAACUUGAGUGCAGAAGAGGAUAGUGGAAUUCCAAGUGUAGCGGUGAAAUGCGUAGAGAUUUGGAGGAACACCAGUGGCGAAGGCGACUGUCUGGUCUGUAACUGACACUGAGGCGCGAAAGCGUGGGGAGCAAACAGGAUUAGAUACCCUGGUAGUCCACGCCCGUAAACGAUGAGUGCUAAGUGUUGGGGGGGUUUCCGCCCCUCAGUGCUGCAGCUAACGCAUUAAGCACUCCGCCUGGGGAGUACGGUCGCAAGACUGAAACUCAAAGGGAAUUGACGGGGGGCCCGCACAAGCGGUGGAGCAUGUGGUUUAAUUUCGAAGCAACGCGAAGAAUCCUUACCAGGUCUUGACAUCCCGGUGACCACUAUGGAGACAUAGUUUCCCCCUCCGGGGCACGGUGACAGUGGUGCAUGGUUGUCGUCAGCUCGUGUCGUGAGAUGUUGGGUUAAGUCCCGCAACGAGCCGCAAUCC
rnacentral:rRNA from 1 species